rnacentral:lncRNA from 10 species
AAAAAAAAAAAAAUUAGCUGGCCAUGGCGGCGGGCACCUGUAGUCCCAGCUACUCAGAAGGCUGAGGCAGGAGAAUGGCGUGAACCCAGGAGGCGAAGCUUGCAGUGAGCCGAGAUGGCACCACUGCACUCCAGCAUGGGCGACAGAGCAAGACUCCAUCUCAAAAAACAAACAAAAAACAAUCAUAUGAUCCAGCAAUCCCACUACUGGGAAUUUAUGGAAAGGAAAAGAAAUCAGUGUAUCAAAGGGAUAGCUACACAGCAAUGUUUAUUACAGCACUAUUCACAAUAGCAAAGAUAUGGAAUCAACCUAAAUGUCCAUCAACAGAUGAAUGGAUAAAGAAUAUGUGGUACAUCUACACAAUGGAAAACUAUUUGGCCGUUAGAAAAAGAAUAAAAUCCUGUCAUUUGCAGCAACAUGUGAAACUGUCUGUCCCUACAGGGUUGACAAGAACUGCAAGCCAGGUUCUAGAUAGAAAUAUAAUUAAGCAUUGGCUGGGCACAGUGGCUCACACCUGUAAUCCCAGCACUUUGCGAGGCCGAGGUGGGCAGAUCACUUGAGGGCAGGUGUUCGAGACCAGCCUGGCCAACAUGGUGAAACCCUGUCUCUACUAAAAAUACAAAAAGUAGCUGGGUGUGAUGGCAGGUGCCUGUAAUCUCAGCUACUUGGGAGGCCUAGGCAGAAUUGCUUGAACCCGGGAGGCAGAGGUUGCAGUGAGCCGAGAUCAUGCCAUUGCACUCCCAGCUUGGGUGACAGAGUGAGACUCAAAAAAAAAAAAAAAAAAGAAAAAGAAAGAAAGAAAGAAAAUUAAGCAUUAAUCAUGCUGCACUUUGGUCCACUUCCUUGUUGCUGAAAGCCACAUAGCUCUAGAUGCUGACCAUUUGUAUCCCCAUUGUUCUUAUAGACAGCAUCGCUGACCUUAGAAUCAUGAUGUUUUUGUUAAGGAUCACGUCAGAUGUUUUUUGGACCCCCAAUUCCAGCCACCAGUUUGAAGACCCCUACAGAGGAUGGGGAUUGUCAGGCCUCUGAGCCCAAGCUAAGCCAUCACAUCCCCUGUGACCUGCACGUAUACAUCUAGAUGGCCUGAAGUAACUGAAGAAUCACAAAAGAAGUGAAAAUGGCCUGUUCCUGCCUUAACUGAUGACAUUACCUUGUGAAAUUCCUUCUCCUGGCUCAUCCUGGCUCAAAAGCUCCCCGGCUGAACACCUUGUGACCCCCACCCCUGCCAGCCAGAGAACAACCCCCUUUGACUGUAAUUUUCCACUACCUACCCAAAUCCUAUAAAACGGCCCCACCCCUAUCUCCCUUCACUGACUCUUUUUGGACUCAGCCCGCCUGCACCCAGGUGAAAUAAACAGCCUUGUUGCUCACACAAAGCCUGUUUGGUGGUCUCUUCACACGGACGCGAGUGAAAGGGAUCAGCAUGAGACUAUAACUUCUUCUUCCACCCUCUGUCCCGUGACUUCACUCUGCACUCUUCAACCAAUCAACGAUCUCCACCCUUCAGCCCACUCCAAAACCCUUGAACACCCUAGCCCCAA